rnacentral:lncRNA from 1 species
GUGCCCCAAUUUUAGAUAUGGUCGGGAUAAUAUCUAAUAGGCUAAGGUUUAGAUUUGAUUGCUUGAUCUCCCUCUUGAAUUAUAAGAAAGAGAUAAACUCCUGAAAAUAGUUUCUCUAGUUGCAAUCCUUCUAUUUCUUGAUGAUUGGACUAAGUCCUGCAUGGGUUUUGCUCGAGCACAUGUCUUGGCUAACAUCAUAAGAUGAAGCAAUAAGAUGAAUAUAUACUAAAGAUUCAUGUACCAUAAGAUGAAGCAAUAAG